GGGGUCAUAACUUGGUGGUAGAGUACCUGCUUGACAUGCAGAAGGUCCCAGGGUCAAUCCCCAGGGUCUCCA
rnacentral:tRNA from 1 species